rnacentral:rRNA from 1 species
AGAGUUUGAUCCUGGCUCAGAACGAACGCUGGCGGCGUGCCUAACACAUGCAAGUCGAACGCGAAAGUCCUUCGGGAUGAGUAAAGUGGCGCACGGGUGAGUAACACGUAGGUGACCUGCCUUUUAGAGGGGAAUAACCAGAAGAAAUUUUGGCUAAUGCCGCAUACGAAAUACAAAAGUAAAAAUAGUAUUUGAAAGGAUGCCUCUGUAUAUGCAUCCACUAAAAGAUGGGCCUGCGGAACAUUAGCUAGUUGGUGGGGUAAAGGCCUACCAAGGCAACAAUGUUUAUCCGGUCUGAGAGGAUGAUCGGACACACUGGAACUGAGACACGGUCCAGACUCCUACGGGAGGCAGCAGUGGGGAAUAUUGCGCAAUGGGGGAAACCCUGACGCAGCAACGCCGCGUGAGUGAGGAAGGACUUCGGUCUGUAAAGCUCUGUUAAUGUGGAAAAAUGGUAGCUGGUCUAAUAGGCCGGCUAUUUGAUGGUACACAUAGAGGAAGCACCGGCUAACUUCGUGCCAGCAGCCGCGGUAAUA